GCCAGGCAUGGUGGUGUGUGCCUGUAGUCCCAGCUACUUGGGAGGCUGAGGCAGGAGGAUUGCUUGAGCCCAGGAGGUCAAGGCUGCAGUGAGCUAUGAUCUCAUCAUUGCACUCCAGCCUGGGCAACACAACAAGACACUGCCUCAA
ensembl:misc_RNA Metazoa_SRP Metazoan signal recognition particle RNA